rnacentral:piRNA from 1 species
UGAGAGGGUUAUAUGACUGCACCCUAAGC